rnacentral:rRNA from 1 species
UAGUCCACGCCGUAAACGAUGAUAACUAGCUGUCCGAACCCACAGGGUUUGGGUGGCGCAGCUAACGCAUUAAGUUAUCCGCCUGGGGAGUACGGUCGCAAGAUUAAAACUCAAAGGAAUUGACGGGGGCCUGCACAAGCGGUGGAGCAUGUGGUUUAAUUCGACGCAACGCGCAGAACCUUACCAGCUUUUGACAUCCUGGUCGCGGAUUUGGGAGACCAUUUCCUUCAGUUCGGCUGGACCAGUGACAGGUGCUGCAUGGCUGUCGUCAGCUCGUGUCGUGAGAUGUUGGGUUAAGUCCCGCAACGAGCGCAACCCUCAUCCUUAGUUGCCAGCAUGUAAUGCUGAGGACUCUAGAGAGACUGCCGGCGUAAGCCGCGAGGGAAGGGUGGGGGAUGACGUCAAAUCAUCAUGGCCUUUAUGCCCAGGGGCGACACACGUGCUACAAUGGGUCGGUACAGGAGGGGUAGC